AUUGAACGCUGGCGGCAGGCCUAACACAUGCAAGUCGAACGCGUGGCGGACGUGUGAGUAAUGUCUGGGACUCUGCCUGAUGGAGGGAGAUCACUCCUAAACCCUAUCGCUAAUACCGCAUACCCUCAUGUGUGCCCAUAUGGGAUUAGCUAGUAGGUGGGGUAAAGGCUCACCUAGGAGACUAUCCCUAGCUGGUCUGAGAGGAUGAACAGCAACACUGGAACUGAGACACGGUCCAGACUCCUACGGGAGGCAGCAGUGGGGAAUAUUGCACAAUGGGCGCAAGCCUGAUGCAGCCAUGCCGCGUGUAUGAAGAAGGCCUUAGGGUUGUAAAGUACUUUCAGCGGGGAGGCGUUACCGGCAGAAGAAGCACCGGCUAACUCCGUGCCAGCAGCCGCGGUAAUAC
rnacentral:rRNA from 1 species